rnacentral:rRNA from 1 species
UACAGAGGGUGCGAGCGUUGUCCGGAAUCACUGGGCGUAAAGGGCGCGUAGGUGGCGCGGGAAGUCAACGGUGAAAGUUCGGGGCUCAACCCUGAAUCGGCCGUCGAUACUCCCGGGCUCGAGCACUGUAGGGGCAGAUGGAAUUCCGGGUGUAGCGGUGGAAUGCGUAGAGAUCCGGAAGAACACCGGUGGCGAAGGCGGUCUGCUGGGCAGUAGCUGACACUGAGGCGCGACAGCGUGGGGAGCAAACAGG